AGUCAAGUAAUUAAGUGCAUGUGGUGGAUGCCUUGGCAGUCAGAGGCGAUGAAAGACGUGAUAGCCUGCGAAAAGCUCCGGGGAGGCGGCAAAUAUCCUUUGAUCCGGAGAUGUCUGAAUGGGGGAACCCACCUACUUUAAGGUAGGUAUUGCAACAUGAAUACAUAGUGUUGCAAGGCGAACGAGGGGAAGUGAAACAUCUCAGUACCCUUAGGAAAAGAAAUCAAUUGAGAUUCCCUCAGUAGCGGCGAGCGAACGGGGAUCAGCCCAUUAAGUUAUGUGUGUUUUAGUGGAACGCUCUGGGAAGUGCGAACGUAGAGGGUGAUAUUCCCGUACACGAAAGGGCACACAUAAUGAUGACGAGUAGGGCGAGGCACGUGAAACCUUGUCUGAAUAUGGGGGGACCAUCCUCCAAGGCUAAAUACUCCUGACUGACCGAUAGUGAACCAGUACCGUGAGGGAAAGGCGAAAAGAACCCCUGUGAGGGGAGUGAAAUAGAUCCUGAAACCGCAUGCAUACAAGCAGUGGGAGCACCUUCGUGGUGUGACUGCGUACCUUUUGUAUAAUGGGUCAGCGACUUAUAUUCAGUAGCGAGGUUAACCGUAUAGGGGAGCCGUAGAGAAAUCGAGUCUUAAUAGGGCGUUUAGUUGCUGGGUAUAGACCCGAAACCAGGCGAUCUAUCCAUGAGCAGGUUGAAGGUUGGGUAACACUAACUGGAGGACCGAACCCACUGUCGUUGAAAAGCCAGGGGAUGACUUGUGGAUAGGGGUGAAAGGCUAAUCAAGCCUGGUGAUAGCUGGUUCUCCCCGAAAGCUAUUUAGGUAGCGCCUCGGACGAAUACCAUAGGGGGUAGAGCACUGUUUCGGCUAGGGGGUCAUCCCGACUUACCAAACCGAUGCAAACUCCGAAUACCUAUGAGUACUAUCCGGGAGACAGACUGCGGGUGCUAACGUCCGUAGUCAAGAGGAAAACAAUCCAGACCGCCAGCUAAGGCCCCAAAAUCAUAGUUAAGUGGGAAACGAUGUGGGAAGGCAUAGACAGCUAGGAGGUUGGCUUAGAAGCAGCCACCCUUUAAAGAAAGCGUAAUAGCUCACUAGUCGAGUCGGCCUGCGCGGAAGAUGUAACGGGGCUAAAACUAUGUGCCGAAGCUGCGGAUGUAUACUUUGUAUACGUGGUAGGGGAGCGUUCUGUAAGCCGAUGAAGGUGUGUUGAGAAGCAUGCUGGAGGUAUCAGAAGUGCGAAUGCUGACGUGAGUAACGACAAAACGGGUGAAAAACCCGUUCGCCGAAAGACCAAGGGUUCCAGUCCAACGUUAAUCGGGGCUGGGUGAGUCGACCCCUAAGGCGAGGCCGAAAGGCGUAGUCGAUGGGAAAAUGGUUAAUAUUCCAUUACUUCUGUGUAAUGCGAUGAGAGGACGGAGAAGGCUAAAUCAGCCUGGCGUUGGUUGUCCAGGUGAAAGGAUGUAGGCAUGUAUCUUAGGCAAAUCCGGGGUACUCUAUGCUGAGAUCUGAUAGCAAGCUGUACUUGUACAGCGAAGUGGUUGAUGCCAUGCUUCCAGGAAAAGUCUCUAAGCUUCAGUUACACAGGAAUCGUACCCGAAACCGACACAGGUGGUCAGGUCGAGUAGACCAAGGCGCUUGAGAGAACUCUGCUGAAGGAACUAGGCAAAAUGGUACCGUAACUUCGGGAGAAGGUACGCUGUUGUUGGUGAUGGAACUCGCUUCCUGAGCUGACGACAGCCGCAGAAACCAGGCCGCUGCAACUGUUUAUUAAAAACAUAGCACUCUGCAAACACGAAAGUGGACGUAUAGGGUGUGAUGCCUGCCCGGUGCUGGAAGGUUAAUUGAUGGGGUUAGCGUAAGCGAAGCUCUUGAUCGAAGCCCCAGUAAACGGCGGCCGUAACUAUAACGGUCCUAAGGUAGCGAAAUUCCUUGUCGGGUAAGUUCCGACCUGCACGAAUGGCAUAAUGAUGGCGGCGCUGUCUCCAGCAGAGGCUCAGUGAAAUCGAAAUCGCUGUGAAGAUGCAGUGUACCCGCGGCUAGACGGAAAGACCCCGUGAACCUUUACUGCAGCUUGACACUGAACUUUGACCUUACUUGUGUAGGAUAGGUGGGAGGCUUUGAAGCUGGAACGCUAGUUCCAGUGGAGCCGUCCUUGAAAUACCACCCUGGUAAUGUUGAGGUUCUAACUCUGUCCCGUGAUCCGGGACGAGGACCGUGUCUGGUGGGUAGUUUGACUGGGGCGGUCUCCUCCUAAAGAGUAACGGAGGAGUACGAAGGUGCGCUCAGCGUGGUCGGAAAUCACGCGUAGAGUAUAAAGGCAAAAGCGCGCUUAACUGCGAGACCCACAAGUCGAGCAGGUACGAAAGUAGGUCUUAGUGAUCCGGUGGUUCUGUAUGGAAGGGCCAUCGCUCAACGGAUAAAAGGUACUCUGGGGAUAACAGGCUGAUACCGCCCAAGAGUUCAUAUCGACGGCGGUGUUUGGCACCUCGAUGUCGGCUCAUCUCAUCCUGGGGCUGAAGCAGGUCCCAAGGGUAUGGCUGUUCGCCAUUUAAAGAGGUACGCGAGCUGGGUUUAGAACGUCGUGAGACAGUUCGGUCCCUAUCUACCGUGGGCGCUGGAAAUUUGAGAGGAUCUGCUCCUAGUACGAGAGGACCAGAGUGGACGAACCUCUGGUGUACCGGUUGUGACGCCAGUCGCAUCGCCGGGUAGCUAUGUUCGGAAGGGAUAACCGCUGAAAGCAUCUAAGCGGGAAGCCUACCUCAAGAUAAGAUUUCCCUAGG
rnacentral:rRNA from 1 species